rnacentral:rRNA from 1 species
CAGCCGCGGUAUUCCAGCUCCAAUAGCGUAUAUUAAAGUUGUUGCAGUUAAAAAGCUCGUAGUUGAAUUUCGGGAUCAGUACGCUGGUCAUGCCUUUGGUAUGCACUGGUGUCACUGGUUUCUCCCUUCUGAAGAACCGUGAUGUCAUUAAUUUGGUGUCGCGGGGAAUCAGGACUGUUACUUUGAAAAAAUUAGAGUGUUUAAAGCAGGCUCACGCUUGAAUACAUUAGCAUGGAAUAAUGAAAUAGGACGUUUGACCCUAUUUUGUUGGUUUCUAGGAUCGACGUAAUGAUUAAUAGGGAUAGUUGGGGGCAUUAGUAUUCAAUUGUCAGAGGUGAAAUUCUUGGAUUUAUUGAAGACUAACUACUGCGAAAGCAUUUGCCAAGGAUGUUUUCAUUAAUCAAGAACGAAAGUUAGGGGAUCGAAGACGAUCAGAUACCGUCGUAGUCUUAACCAUAAACUAUGCCGACUAGGGAUCGGAUGAUGUUAAUUUUAUAAUGACUCAUUCGGCGCCUUACG